AGUGAACGCUGGCGGUAUGCCUAAUACAUGCAAGUCGAACGGCAGCACAGUAAGCUUUCUCUCCUACGGUUGGCUGCUGACGGAUGGGUGACGAAUACAUCGGCUUCUACUUUUUCGUGGGGGAUAACGUAGGGCAACUUAUGCUACUACCUCAUACUACCUACCGGUUAAAGCAUGUGAUCUUCGGACCUUUCCCGAUUUAAUGAGCCGAUGUCGGAUUUGUUAGUUGGCAGGUUAAAGGCCCACCAAGCCAACGAUCCGUAGCUAGUCUGAGAGGAUGAUCAGCCACACUGGAACUGAGACACGGUCAAGACUCCUACGGGAGGAAGAAGUGGGGAAUAUUGGCCAAUGGGCGAAAGCCUGAUGCAGAAAUACCGCGUGGGUGAAGAAGGCCUUCGGGUUGUAAAGCCCGUUUGUUGGGAAAGAAAAGCAGCAGGUUAAAACGUCGACGUUCUGACGGUACCCAAACAGAAAGCAACGGCUAACUACGUG
rnacentral:rRNA from 1 species